rnacentral:rRNA from 1 species
UGAUUGGUUCUGCGUGCUACGCUGCCGGUUCGCCGCCUGCCGGUGUAACUGGCAUGUCGUGGCAUGUCCUGUCGGUGGCGAAUGGAAGCUUCGUUAGGAGACGCCCGGGGUAACUCGGUGUCGUAGGCCAGAAGUCAAACCCAUUCGCCUACUCUAUCCUACCUAGGUGCUCUUCACCGAGUGUCGAGGUAGGCCGACACGUUUACUUUGAACAAAUUAGAGUGCUCAAAGCAGGCUGAAAUCUCUGCCUGAAUAGUGGUGCAUGGAAUAAUAAAACAGGACCUUGGUUCUAUUUUGUUGGUUCUUAGGAACACAAGGUAAUGAUCAAUACGGACAGGCGGGGGCAUUCGUAUUGCGACGUUAGAGGUGAAAUUCUUGGAUCGUCGCAAGACGCACAAGAGCGAAAGCAUUUGCCAAGUAUGUCUUGAUUGAUCAAGAACGAAAGUUAGAGGUUCGAAGGCGAUCAGAUACCGCCCUAGUUCUAACCAUAAACGAUGCCAGCCAGCGAUCCGCCGAUGUUCCUCCGAUGACUCGGCGGGGAGCUUCUUCCCGGGAAACCAAAGCUUUUGGGUUCCGGGGGAAGUAUGGUUGCAAAGCUGAAACUUAAAGGAAUUGACGGAAGGGCACCACCAGGAGUGGAGCCUGCGGCUUAAUUUGACUCAACACGGGAAACCUCACCAGGCCAGGACAUUGGAAGGAUUGACAGAUUGAUAGCUCUUUCUUGAUUCAGUGGGUAGUGGUGCAUGGCCGUUCUUAGUUGGUGG